rfam:Thermosipho africanus TCF52B, complete genome.
UGUACCUUUAAUUUGGUCCCGUGAGGCCAAAAAGGAGUGGAAAAAAUGAGUAAAUUGGACUCAAUACUUUUGUUAUUUAAAUAUCUUAAAAAAAUCCCUGCCAUCUAUGAUGGUGGGGAUUUUUUGCUU